rnacentral:lncRNA from 10 species
AAGCGCUAACGAGACCUGCCCGGAGGAUUUAGGUCUCCUGCAGGUUGGUGAGUGAUUUGGGAGCUCUGGGUAAAAGAGGUGUACCUCGGCCUAGUUUGGUUGCUGAACUAGAACAACGCGAGGACAUCAAUCAAUCUGCAGGAAACAAAAAAUGGAAGUCGAGGUUUAGGAAGAGUUGUCACUUCCCCGACUUGAGUGGUGCAGGCUGGGGGCGGAGACUUGGGACCUAAGAGAGGCCAUUUCUCUCACCUCAGCUCCCUUCCCUUGGACUUCCAAAAGGAAUAAUUUUACUCUCUCCUCCGUUCUCCCCACAACUCUCAUCCCCGCUAGCCCGCAGGCCGCCUGCCCCUUUCCGCACCUCCUUUUCCCAUCCAGCGAGAGAAACCUAGCUCCCAGAGCCGGUGCAGUCAGUCCCCUCGCCCCUCCCGCCCCUGCACGGGUCCCCCUCUAGCCGUCGCUGCAACCACCACCUCGGUUCCACUCAACCGAUUUUUGCUGCAUGUCAACACUUAUUACCGGAAUCUUCAAAUGAUAAUUUUGAAAAGAGAAGCAGUCCUUUUCAUGAUGAAGAGAUGAGUUGUCAAAAGCCCAGGUUCUCCAGGGCAGAAGAUUUCAGUCUCUGGUAACACAGACUCAGAGAGAAGCACGGAUGAGAGUUGGAGGGAGAGAGAGUCCUGCUGUCUCUCCUGUCUGUUACUAUGAUCCUGGAGGUCCAGUUAAAUGCCCUUCCUGAGAUUUUGCUACUCUGAUCACUCAUUCUGGGAGAAGACAACCGUCAUAUCAUGUCAUGAAGAUACUCAUGCAGUCCUAUGGAGAAUUUCAUUGGUAAGAAACUGAGCUAGAAUGAACUUGACAGCCUUGUGAGAGAGCCAUCUUAGAAGCAGACCUUCAGCCUCAGACAGCUUUCAGAGGAUUGUAGCCCCAGCUGAAACAUCAACCACAAUCUCAUGAGAGACACUGAACCAGAAUCACCCAGCCAAGCUGUUCCCAAAUUCCUGAGCCAUAGAAACUGUGUGAGAUAAUAAAUGUUUAUUGUUGUUCUCAGCCACUACAUUUCUAAAUUAUUUUUUAUUUAUUUUUAGACAUAAGGUCUCACUAUGUUGCCCAAGCUGGGGUGCAGUGGCUAUUCACAGGCACGAUUGUAGCAAACUACAGCCUUGAACUCCUGGGCUCAAGUGAUCCUCCCACAUCAGCCUCCCAAAUAGCUGUGACUACAGACAUGCACCAUGACACCAGGCUAAGUUAUGGGAUAAUUUGUUAUGCAGCAAUCUCAACAUGAGGCAAUGUUGACCAAACGGAUGGGCUUUCACCAAAUCCUCAAGUUUUUUUCAUCUUCCCAACCGCACUACCCACUGGAGAGAAUUUCUCUUUUUCCUGGAGAUCGCCUACCUCAGCUCCAGUCAUCCUGCCCUUACAGGCACUCACAGCACCCUGAGCAUUUCCUUUCGUGGUUUUCCUAGGUUGGAUGUACCGUUUCCUGGAUCCUGUGUCCCAU